UCUGUCGUGAACGUUUCACUCUGAUCUCUAUCUGCAAUCUCGGGAUUUGAGUUUGGAAAGAUUUCCUCUGGAACGGCCAAGGGUGAAAAUCAUGUCGAUCGGUGGGUUGAUAGUCUCGUGUUUAAAGUGAUUUAGUUCAAUUCAAGCACCGUGCAGCACAAUAUUGUCCUUCAAUCACGAUGAGUAACAUGCAACCGGAAGAGUACGAAAAUACGGGAUGGUUGUCGUACUUUAGCCGGCACAAAACCACGUACACGGCGGCCGACAUACACAAGAUCAGCAACGAGCUGAAUAAUGUCCGCAAGAACCUGACCGCGACGCAAUAUGCUUACGGUGAGCUUAGUAGCGAGCUGAAGGCUUUGCGGAGCCUCCAGGAGCAGCAGCGCGUAAGUGAAGAGUACGAGCAGCGAAUCCAGAGCAAAUCGGCCGCACUUCCCAAGACAUUUGAAAAGCGGCUUAAGGAGCAAACCGAGGAGAUCAAAGGAUUGAAGGGCGAGUUGGUCGGUUGUCGGAAUGAGUUGAACAAACAGAUCGCUGCACUGACAGUGACCUGCAGUGAGUUGGGUAAGGUUUCAAAAUCAAAAUCGAAAGGUUCCGACAUUGUGGCCAGUGGCUGUGGACCGGCAACGGUUGGACUUGAGAGCCGCAUAAUUGCCGCCGAGCUUCAGAUCGAUCAGCUGUCCCAGAGACAUCAGGAGCGUCUCAGUGCACUCGAGACGAAGGUGUGCCAGCUGGAGCGUUGUAAUGAGCUCAACGUCGGAGGUGGUGUCGGAGACCCUAGUUCCGAAAACAAUGACCGACUGAAAGGUCUCGAGGGAGAUUUCAAUCGUAAGCUGCAAGAUUUGACCGAUCUCGUGGUGGAACUGCAACGCAAGCUGGCUCAAAGUGAAGCCAAACAGGUGGAGAUGCUCCAGAAGCUAUCGAUCGCACAGACUUCGUUGUACGAGCAGCUGGAGGCACGGUACGAUGAACAGUGUGGCAAGUUGCGUGAGCUGCAGGUUCGCCUUAGUCACGUGGACCACCGCGACGACAUCGAUUCCACGUUCGUCUGAACAUGGGGCCAUUGCUCCUAAUGUUUACGUUGUAGUAAAAUGUCAGGUCGUAUUAGUCCUUGCGUUAGUGGCUAUCACAUUUCCCAACAUUCAUUUCAGCAGAGCUAGUGAACUAGAAAGCUUCUCGACCGACCCGUUAGCUCAUCAUGCCGAUCUAGUACAUCAUUCGGAGGCACUGCUUCACA